rnacentral:rRNA from 1 species
AAGUAGUAUAAUAAACUCAUUUACUAUGACGGCAUUUCAUUUAAUUAGAGGAACUUGUUAAAUAAUCGACAUUACACGAUAAAUUUCACUUCUAUAUAAAAUUUAUAUACCGCCAUUUCAAGAAUUAAUUAAAUAAUCAAAUUCCAAAAAAUAACUUAACAAAUUAGGUCAAGGUAUAAUUUAAAUAUAAGAAUAAAAUGAGUUACAUUAAAUUUCAUUUAAAGAUUAUUAAAUUAAAAUUUAAUAUAAAUAAGGAUUUAAAAGUAAUAAUAUAUUAAUAUUAUAUUAUGAAUAAAAAAUAAAUGUGU